rnacentral:rRNA from 1 species
GUGAGGAAUAUUGGUCAAUGGACGAGAGUCUGAACCAGCCAAGUCGCGUGAAGGAAGACGGUUCUAUGAAUUGUAAACUUCUUUUGUGCAGGAAUAAAGUGGGUUACGUGUAACCUUUUGUAUGUACUGUACGAAUAAGGAUCGGCUAACUCCGUGCCAGCAGCCGCGGUAAUACGGAGGAUCCGAGCGUUAUCCGGAUUUAUUGGGUUUAAAGGGUGCGUAGGUGGAUUGAUAAGUCAACGGUGAAAGUUUGCAGCUUAACUGUAAAAUUGCCGUUGAAACUGUCGGUCUUGAGUGCAAAUGAGGUAGGCGGAAUGUGUUGUGUAGCGGUGAAAUGCUUAGAUAUAACACAGAACUCCGAUUGCGAAGGCAGCUUACUGGGAUGCAACUGACACUGAUGCACGAAAGCGUGGGUAUCAAACAGGAUUAGAAACCCCGGUAGUCC